rnacentral:lncRNA from 1 species
AUGCACGACAAACUGGUACCCACGGUUGCGUCUGGGGGCAGUGACAAGGAGUGGCUUUCCACUGUGGGACUUGGGACUAUUUUAUACAGAAAGAAAAAGCAGUCGAAGCUAGUGGUGGGCCGCGUUCCGAAAGCCCCGGUGGGGUCUGAGAAGGGAGAUGCGGGAACGAAGCCGCAGCCAGCCCCUCCCUGGUCCAGCGCAUGCGCCGUUUCCUCUUUCUCCCAGAUGCAGCGGGACCAGAGCCUCCACACGCAGGUGUCAAUCACAGCCAUGCCUCUCUCAGCCGGGACCUCGGGGUGCAGGAGUGCAAGGGGCCCCGCGUCUACCCCGGAGACAGUCUCCCUCCGAGACGCACAGAGUCCACGGGACAGCCUGGGUCUGCCGCCAACUGCUGAAGGACCCGGGCCAGCUCCGCACCUCCCCGGGCUUCAGUUUCCCCAUCUCUACGAUUCAGAGCCUCUGAAAAGUCCAAGGCCCCAGGCAGCUGUGGAAAAGCUCACGAGUCCAACUGGCUGGAACUUCCCUGGGGUCCUGGGAAGCCGAGACUGGGAGCCUCAAGCCUCAUUCCACGUUUUCUUGGAAACAUGCUGGAGCCUGGAGCGAGGAAGGAUCCUAUGUCAGUCUCCUAUGGCUGCUGUAACAAAUUGCCACAAACCCCAGUGGUUUAAAACAACAGAAAUUUAUCCUCUCACAGUUCGGGAGACAAAGGCCAGAAUCAAGGGGUCUGUGGGGCCACGCGCCCUCCGUAAGUUCUAA